rnacentral:rRNA from 1 species
UUGAACCUACGGGGGGCAGCAGUGAGGAAUAUUGGUCAAUGGACGCAGGUCUGAACCAGCCAUGCCGCGUGCAGGAAGACGGCUCUAUGAGUUGUAAACUGCUUUUGUACGAGGGUAAACGCAGAUACGUGUAUCUGUCUGAAAGUAUCGUACGAAUAAGGAUCGGCUAACUCCGUGCCAGCAGCCGCGGUAAUACGGAGGAUUCAAGCGUUAUCCGGAUUUAUUGGGUUUAAAGGGUGCGUAGGCGGAUUGAUAAGUUAGAGGUGAAAUGUCCGAGCUUAACUCGGGAACUGCCUCUAAUACUG